AGGACGAACGCUGGCGGCGUGCUUAACACAUGCAAGUCGAGCGGAAAGGCCCUUCGGGGUACUCGAGCGGCGAACGGGUGAGUAACACGUGAGCAAUCUGCCCUUAGCUUCGGGAUAGCCCCGGGAAACCGGGAUUAAUACCGAAUACGACCUCGGCCGACAUCGGCUUUGGUGGAAAGUUUUUUCGGCUAGGGAUGAACUCGCGGCCUAUCAGCUUGUUGGUGGGGUAAUGGCCUACCAAGGCGACGACGGGUAGCCGGCCUGAGAGGGCGACCGGCCACACUGGGACUGAGACACGGCCCAGACUCCUACGGGAGGCAGCAGUGGGGAAUAUUGCGCAAUGGGCGAAAGCCUGACGCAGCGACGCCGCGUGGGGGAUGAAGGCCUUCGGGUUGUAACCCCUUUCAGCAGGACGAAGCGAGAGUGACGGUACUGCAGAAGAAGCGCCGGCUAACUACGUGCCAGCAGCGC
rnacentral:rRNA from 1 species